rnacentral:rRNA from 1 species
GACGAACGCUGGCGGCGUGCUUAACACAUGCAAGUCGAACGGAAAGGCCCCUUUGGGGGUACUCGAGUGGCGAACGGGUGAGUAACACGUGAGUAACCUGCCCUUGACUUCGGGAUAACUUCAGGAAACUGGGGCUAAUACCGGAUAGGAAUCCUUGCUGCAUGGUGGGGGUUGGAAAGCUUCGGCGGUUUUGGAUGGACUCGCGGCUUAUCAGCUUGUUGGUGGGGUAGUGGCUUACCAAGGCUUUGACGGGUAGCCGGCCUGAGAGGGCGACCGGCCACAUUGGGACUGAGAUGCGGCACAGACAGCUACGGGAGGCAGCAGUGGGGAAUAUUGAACAAUGGGCGGAAGCCUGAUGCAGCAACGCCGCGUGCGGGAUGACGGCCUUCGGGUUGUAAACCGCUUUCAGCAGGGGCGAAGCUUGUGGUGACGGUACCUGCAGAAGAAGCACCGGCUAACUACGUG